rnacentral:rRNA from 1 species
GACAGAGGUCCCGAGCGUUAGGCGGAAUCACUGGGCUUAAAGCGUGUGUAGGCGGAUGCCUAAGUACCUUGUGAAAUCCCGCGGCUCACCCGUGGAACUGCUUGGUAUACUGGGUGUCUUGAGCCACUUAGGGGCUACCGGAACAAAUGGUGGAGCGGUGAAAUGCGUAGAUAUCGUAAGGAAGACCAGUGGCGAAGGCGGGUCUCUGGACAGUUCCUGACGCUGAGGCACGAAGGUCAGGGGAGCAAACGGG